GACGAACGCUGGCGGCGUGCCUAAUACAUGCAAGUAGAACGCACAGUUUAUACCGUAGCCUGCUACACCAUAAACUGUGAGUUGCGAACGGGUGAGUAACGCGUAGGUAACCUGCCUGGUAGCGGGGGAUAACUAUUGGAAACGAUAGCUAAUACCGCAUAAUAUUGAUUAUUGCAUGAUAAUUGAUUGAAAGAUGCUAUUGCAUCACUACCAGAUGGAUCUGCGUUGUAUUAGCUAGUAGGUGAGGUAACGGCUCACCUAGGCGACGAUACAUAGCCGACCUGGGAGGGUGAUCGGCCACAAUGGGACUGAGACACGGCCCAGACUCCUACGGGGGGCAGCAGUAGGGAAUCUUCGGCAAUGGACGGAAGGCUGACCGAGCAACGCCGCGUGAGUGAAGAAGGGUGUCGGAUCGUAAAGGUCUGUUGUAAGGGAAGAAAGGGUGCGAGAGUGGAAAGUUCACACUGUGACGGUAUCUUACCAGAAAGGGACGGCUAACUACGUG
rnacentral:rRNA from 1 species